rnacentral:rRNA from 1 species
GUAGGGUGCGAGUGUUAAUCGGAAUUACUGGGCGUAAAGCGUGCGCUGGCGGCGCGUUAAGACAGGUGUGAAAGCCCCGAGCUUAACUUGGGAAUUGCGCUUGUGACUGGCGUGCUGGAGUGUGGCAGAGGGAGGUGGAAUUCCACGUGUAGCAGUGAAAUGCGUAGAGAUGUGGAGGAACACCGAUGGCGAAGGCAGCCUCCUGGGCCAGCACUGACGCUCAUGCACGAAAGCGUGGGGAGCAAACAGGAUUAGAUACCCUGGUAGUCCACGCCCUAAACGAUGUCAACUGGUUGUUGGUGGGGUUAAACCCACUAGUAACGAAGCUAACGCGUGAAGUUGACCGCCUGGGGAGUACGGCCGCAAGGUUA